rnacentral:tRNA from 1 species
GCCGGAGUGGCGGAACAGGCAGACGCGCGCGACUCAAAAUCGUGUGGGCUUGGCUCGUGUGGGUUCGACUCCCACCUCCGGCA